ensembl:misc_RNA 7SK 7SK RNA
GUGUAGAGCAGUGUGUCUGAGAUACCUGUCAUGCAUUUAAUAGCCAGUAUUGAUUCAUCAGAUAUGGCAGGUUGGGUGGGAAUCGCCUGCCUCCCUAAAUAUGGCUUGUGCAUCCCUUUGUAAGUAUUAUUCUUGGUCAAAGACGACAGCACUCCCAGGACAGAAGAGGACUAGUCUUUGGUCAAGGGUGUACAUGUGGCAGCACACCCCUGUUAGAAUCUCCAAACAAGCUCUCAUGAGUACCUUUCAUUGUGUGCUUUCAUGCAGCCUCUUCACCUUCAAGGUGUCCCUU